rnacentral:lncRNA from 10 species
GUGCAAUUCUACUUGGAGAUCUUCAUAACACCUUAAGGGAAAAAUCCUUUUUGAAAGAAAAACAAGUCUGGGUGGUGCUUGAAAAUUCAGAAGGCAGCUAGAAACUCUGCCAAUUACAACUGGUGAUUGCUGAGUUCUGGAGACAGACUGGGCUUCUGCUUUCUUUUGGUGGAGGUGUCUGCUUGCAGAAAAUUUAUGUUCUGGGAUUUACAACUUCAGGGAGACAAAGGAAACUCCAGCUCAUCUCCCACAUCAUUGAUUGAGAGGACCAUUUUCUGACUGUCUGCACACGGAUGGGCAUUUGAAUUAUUUCCAGUUUUUGGCUAUUAUGAAAAAAACUGCUAUGAACAUUCAUACACAAGUGUGUGUGUGGACCCAUGUUUUCACUGAUCAAGGCCUAAAUACCUACGUGGUGCUUCGUGAACCCUGGAUGCUACAGUCUCUGGCCACAGCACUAAAUGUAUGCUGAGAUCUGGCUUCACGGUCGAGGGUGUUGCUGGUUUUCAAUGUGCCUGACAUAGGAUCAAUGGUGAAUGCACCAGAAGCCUCAUCAGUCAGAAAAUACUCAGUUUGCCCAUUCAGGCCUUCAUCCUUGUCCACAGCUGAAAGCACAAGAACCACUGUUCCCACUUCAGCAUCUUCUCUCACAGAGGACUGGUAAUAAAGUGUGGGAAAAGAAGGACUGUGGUCAUUGGCAUCCAAAACUCUAACUUGCAGGUGUAUUACAGAGCUCCUAGGUGGAUCUCCCAGGUCAGAGCACAGAAUGACAAGGGUAAAAUUGCUGAUUUGCUCCCGGUCCAAAGCACGAGUGGUUGAGAGUUCUCCUGACAUCUCAUUUAUAGUAAAGCACUCAUCAGUAUUUCCAUCUAUUAAAGAAAACAAUUACAAAUUCAUUUGAAUUGAAAAAGUAGCAGCUCUUUGCUAGCACUAUCUAUGGUAUUCAUUUAUACAUUCAUUAAAAAUAUAUUUAUUCCCGA